rnacentral:tRNA from 1 species
GGUCGCGUGGCGCAAUGGAUAAUGCGUCUGAUUACGGAGCAGAAGAUUGCAGGUUCGAAUCCUGCCGUGGUUG